UACGGAGGGUGCAAGCGUUACUCGGAAUCACUGGGCGUAAAGAGCGUGUAGGCGGGUUGAUAAGUUCGAAGUGAAAUCCUAUAGCUUAACUAUAGAACUGCUUUGAAAACUGUUAACCUAGAAUAUGGGAGAGGUAGAUGGAAUUUCUGGUGUAGGGGUAAAAUCCGUAGAGAUCAGAAGGAAUACCGAUUGCGAAGGCGAUCUACUGGAACAUUAUUGACGCUGAGACGCGAAAGCGUGGGUAGCAAACGGG
rnacentral:rRNA from 1 species